rnacentral:rRNA from 1 species
UACGGAGGAUGCAAGCGUUAUCCGGAAUGAUUGGGCGUAAAGCGUCCGCAGGUGGCUGUGUAAGUCUGCUGUCAAAGAGCAAAGCUCAACUUUGUAAAGGCAGUGGAAACUACACGGCUAGAGUGCGUUCGGGGCAGAGGGAAUUCCUGGUGUAGCGGUGAAAUGCGCAGAUAUCAGGAGGAACACCAGCGGCGAAGGCGGCGCUCUGGGCCGGUACUGACGCUGAGGAGCGAAAGCGUGGGUAGCAAACAGG